GGCUGGUCCGAAGGUAGUGAGUUAUCUCAACUGAUUGUUCACAGUCAGUUACAGAGUGAACUCCUUGUUCUACACUUUCCCCCUUCUCACCACUGCACUUGACUAGUCUAAA
ensembl:misc_RNA Y_RNA Y RNA